UACGGAGGGGGCUAGCGUUGUUCGGAAUUACUGGGCGUAAAGCGCACGUAGGCGGCUUUGUAAGUUAGAGGUGAAAGCCCAGGGCUCAACCCUGGAAUUGCCUUUAAGACUGCAUCGCUAGAAUUGUGGAGAGGUAAGUGGAAUUCCGAGUGUAGAGGUGAAAUUCGUAGAUAUUCGGAAGAACACCAGUGGCGAAGGCGACUUACUGGACACAUAUUG
rnacentral:rRNA from 1 species